AUAUCUUUUAUACAUAUUUAUCAAAUUAUUUAACGUCUGAACGAUUAUUAAUUUGAAAAUAUCUUUUUUAAAUGUAUUUUUUUUCGUCUAAAUUAAUUUUACGCAACAUAACCUUCACGUUUAUUGUCUGAAGUCAUGGAACAGGUGGACUUUUGUACUACAAAAGGUGACGGGAAUGACAAAUGUUGUAAUUCCUCUCCAUGCCCAGAAAUAGUAGCUAAUUCGAUGUCGGAUGAAAAUGUAUCAGAAAAAACAAAUGUACUCAGAACAGAUCAUGAAAAUGAUAGUGUACAGCCUAUUGAAGAUACAGCUGCUACUACAUCUCAAGACAUACCACAAGAAAAAAUAGACUUUAAAGUAAUCUACAACAAACAGAAGAUUAAUAUAAAUUUUGCAUUAGAUGGUACUGUGGCCGAGCUGAAAGCACAUCUUCAAAAUAUUAUUUCAGUGCCACAAGUAAUGCAGAAAGUUAUGUUUAAAGGAUUAGCCAAAGAUGAUCAAACGCUUAGAAACUUGGGAGUUACAAAAGGUGCCAAAGUCAUGAUAGUGGGAUCAAAACUAGAUGAUGUAUUAGCUGUAUCAAUUCCGUCAAAGCAGGAUCUAGCAGAUGAAGCUAGUUCUACUGCAAGUAAGGAACCUCUGUCGCAACAAAAAAUUCACCGUAAAAUUCUAGAUAAAGGUAUUCCAGAUGAUGUUAUGCCGGGUAUAUUAGAUAGUAAGGAACCACUACCUGAAUUUCCUAUCUCAGGUAUGCUGAAUAAAUUUCGUGGCAAGGUUAGACUUACAUUUAAAUUGGAACAAGACCAGCUUUGGAUCGGUACAAAAGAAAGAACUGAUAAAAUUCCUAUGAACUCAAUAAAAGGUGUCCAUAGUGAACCAAUACAUGAUCAUCCAGAGUAUCAUAUUAUGGGUAUACAAUUAGGCACAACAGAAGCAUCAAGAUAUUGGAUAUACUGGGUUCCUGCACAAUACAUAUCAGCCAUCAAGGAUGCUAUUCUUGGAAAGUGGUGUUACUUCUGAUCAAGUGCAAAUGGAAAUUUCGUUUUCUCUGAAAACAAUGUGUAAUCAAGUGUAAACAUUGACACAAAUACGAUUGUGCUAGUCACACACUUUUAACAGAGGGGGGAGGGUUAAUGUAAUCAUAAAUUACAUUACAUCAAAUCCAUAUAUUGUCCUAAUUAAACAUGAAUCACAAGAAGAGCAUUGUUUUUAUUUGGACACUUUAGCCAAAAAAUUAUAGCUUAAAUGAGUCAAUUGGAAAAUUCUAUGUUUUCUGAUUAUUUAAAUAGGGGCUUUUGAAAUUUAGAAUAAAAGUGAACAUUUUGUAAAAUUACAUUUAUAGGAAGAAGCGAAGAAAGAAGUUAUGAUGUUGCAUUUACUGACAUUUGAAGUUCGUCGAGAAAUAUUUCAUCUGAUUACCAUAAUUGGGGAAAAUUUUAAUCAAUUAUUGCAUCUAAAUAUUUCAUUUAAAAUGAUUUACUUAUUAUUAAAGUCAAAUUAAUAUGAAAAACAUUUAAAACGGAAU